GCUCAGGAUGAACGCUGGCGGCGUGCUUAACACAUGCAAGUCGAGCGAAGCACUUUGGAAAGAUUCUUCGGAUGAUUUCCUUUGUGACUGAGCGGCGGACGGGUGAGUAACGCGUGGGUAACCUGCCUCAUACAGGGGGGUAACAGUUAGAAAUGACUGCUAAUACCGCAUAAGACCACGGUACCGCAUGGUGCAGUGGUAAAAACUCCGGUGGUAUGAGAUGGACCCGCGUCUGAUUAGGUAGUUGGUGGGGUAACGGCCUACCAAGCCGACGAUCAGUAGCCGACCUGAGAGGGUGACCGGCCACAUUGGGACUGAGACACGGCCCAGACUCCUACGGGAGGCAGCAGUA
rnacentral:rRNA from 1 species